UUCUGUUCUAUCUGUCCUCACCCCACUAUAUCUUCCCCAUCCCCAAUCUCUUUCCCUCGCUUUCCAAUUCCAAACCCUAAUUCUUUUGUUUCUCUCUCUUUUUCAUUUCUUUUUUCCUCUGCUAAAUUGAAGCCGAAAGAAAAUCUUUAGCUGCUGGUACAGUUAUACUCGCGCUUCUUUCCUUCAUUUUCUUUCUCAUUUCUGCGUCGUCGUUUGUGUGAUGGGAGGCACGGAAUGCGUGAUGUGGUUGUUGUUUAGUUAGGAUCUGUUUAUCGAGAUAAGCGAUUUGUUCUAUUUCGUUGGGUUUGUGGAUUUUACUCUGUAAUUCGCUAAUCGCUCAGCAUUCUGAUAGCGGAUCGUCGGGGUUUCUCGGGUGUAAUGGCAAUUUAUGCUGCUAAAUUAAUUGGAAAACCAUUUCGAUGACUGGGAACUGCACGGAAAUAAAGCGGAGAACGAUCUCGAUUAUUGGAGGAUGGUGGUGGUGUUGAACACUAAAUCGAAUGACAUAACUUUUGCACUUAACUGAACAAUAAGGUAAGGUCUAUCUUUUUAUUUCUUUGCAGAUAUCCUAGGUACCAUCCAUAGGAGACAAUCAUGCUUGAACUUGGUAGGACUUGGACAAGAAAGCUCUUCCUUCAAGAAUUUGACACUACUAUAUAAUCAAGGUACAGGGAAAAGAUUGUUUAAAGGUUCAAUUAAUCUGAUCAGCCCCCAACGGCUCGGGGAACUUUUCCUUAAAGUAGCAAGCUGGGUAGCAAGCUGGGCAUGCUUGUUCUGGGACAAUUCAGUGGACCAACCACCACCCUUGGAGCCACUUGAUUUGUGUUUGGCCACCAGUGGGUCUUCAACUGUGAUGGAGUUUGGUUUCAUACAUAUGCUGGCCAAGCUUCCACCACAAGAGCUGCUAGACUUUGGUGCUCAUACACUAGCCGUCAAGGAGGGAUAACCGCUCUAGUUAAGUGUUUCACUUAGCAUUUCAUACUAUUCUAUGCAAAACUUAAGCUACUUUCGGUUCCCCAAAGGAAAAUAAAACAAAGUGAGGAAAGAAAAAAGAAAUAGAGUGAAAAUGAAGGAAG